ACCGUCGUUUCUUUGGCGGGCCGCCGGGCCCUGCUCGGCCGCCGGCCCCGGCUGGCGCGUGCCCGCCAGAGGCCCUUCAAACUCUGAAUGUUAGUGUCGUCUGAGUACUAUACAAUAGUUAAAACUUUCAACAACGGAUCUCUUGGUUCUGGCAUCGAUGAAGAACGCAGCGAAAUGCGAUAAGUAAUGCGAAUUGCAGAAUUCAGUGAGUCAUCGAAUCUUUGAACGCACAUUGCGCCCUGUGGUAUUCCGCAGGGCAUGCCUGUUCGAGCGUCAUUUCAACCCUCAAGCCCUGCUUGGUGUUGGGCCCUGCCCGUUGCGGCCGGCCCUAAAGUCAGUGGCGGCGCCGUCUGGCUCUAAGCGUAGUACAUCUCUCGCUCUAGGGCCCCGCGGUGGCUUGCCAGCAACCCCAACUCCUAUGGUUGACCUCGGAUCAGGUAGGGAUACCCGCU
rnacentral:rRNA from 1 species